AGUAAGCUAAGACAUUUUCAAUUCCUAAAACCCACCUUUUCUUUCUGAAUUUGAAGUCCAUUUCAGCAGAGUAUGGAAACUCAAAUGGCUUUUAUCUCUUGUGAAAAAACCUCACGCCGUGAACCUCUCAUUAUCCCUAAUCAAGCCUCCCUGAAAAACAUCUGAAUCUCAAACCCAGCAGCACAUAUUUCCCCAAGAAAACCACCUAUCACUGACCAUCCCACUUAGCCUCAGCCCCUACUCCCAUGCCCCCACCUCGAUUACCCCUACCUCUAAAACACCCAUCCUUCAAUCGACGCCUAAAUCCGUUCCCUACCCCUUCCCACCUUCUAGAUCCUCCAAGAACCCACCCGAGAAACUCGACUCAACCACUAAUCGAAGCUUUUAGAGGCAACACCCACAAUUUCUUCCCCCAUCUCUUUAUUUUUUAUCGUACAAGUCCUUCUCCACCACGGCCCUCGUAAAAUCCAGUACAGUCCCCUCUAGGAUCUCGUUUUUUUAAUCACCAAUAAAGCAUCACCUUUUAGAAUCACCACUCGAAACCCUAAAUCAAUCCCCAAACUCACUGCCUGAAGACAAGCAAGGGCCUCCGUUGCAAACCCAGAACUCUUUUUUUUCCAUUGAAAGUGACGUCAAAGUUGAUUUUGAGAAAAAUGGACCUCUAGGGGCCUCCUCCUCUCGUACUCAAUCCUUCAAACAGAAGGACCACUUUGUCAUGAAUCAACCAAUUCCUCGCAGACCAAAUAAACUAGAGGGUACAAACCACAGUUCUGCGUUUAGUAAUCGGAACCAUGGAAAAAAUAUGAGUAAGCCAUUCUUGUAAAGAUGCAUUAGCUAUAUUCCCAGGCCAUAUCAAAUCUAACCUUCUCCAUAUUUCCUCUACAGAAGAACAAUCCUUAAAGUAAUGCUCAGCAGUCUCUAUUCCACCUAAAAAUUUUGGACACAUAGUUGAACUCUGCAACCUCUUAUUGUACAAGUUAUAAUACCUAGGGAUGUAAUUUUUAAAAAUGUGCCAUAUUGUAAUUCUUAUAUUCUCUUGUAAAUUGAUUUGCCAGAGUUUCUUGUAGAAAGUUCUAUAAUUGUCAUGAAUACCUGAAACCUCAUGUCAGAUAUCAUCUUGAAGAAGGAUCUUAUAACCGCUCCACACUGAAAAUUUUUUUGACGGCUCAUCAUCCCAAACCACCAUAUCCUCUUACAGAUUACUAGUAAUAAGAAUACAUCUUACCCUCUUCACAACCUCUUUAGUCAAAUGUGUGGUAAGUUCCUGCUCAUUUCACUGCCUUGUUUGGUGAGUAAUCAAAUCAAAUCAAAUACUAGCCUCACUGACGAAUUCCCUUUUGGAAUUUGUAUUCUUCUUUCUAGCAAGCUAGAGACCCACACAUCCUCUUAAAUCCUAAUAUUUGCUCCUGACCCCACAUGCCAGCCUGAGCUUGAAAUAAGCAAAUCUCGCGUAGCCCAUAUGCUCUUCUAGGUAUAUGAUGGGUAAGCACCAAGAUUAGCAUUCAAAAAAUCAGUUGACGGAGAAUAUUUUGCUUUGAGUGACCUCGUUAAAAGGGAAUAUGAAAACUUAGUUAAUCGCCAUCCCUGCUUCACAAGUAAGGCAAUAUGAAAAUUUUCCAUAUUACGAAAGCCUGGCCCCCAUCCUCUUUAAGCUGACACAUCUUGACCCACUCAGCAACAACGGAUACCUUUCUUUCCCCAUGUUUCUACCACAAAAAUCGACUAAUAAUCCAUUCUAACUCCAAGCAAAAUGAUGUUGAUAAUAAGAAACAUGACAUAAAAAAUGUAGGAAUAGCUUGCAACACACUUUUAAUAAAAACUUGCUUGCCCCCUAGGAUAAAGGUCUAACACACCAACUCUUAAUACGACUUCUCAACUAGUCCUUCAAAACCUGAAGAGCCCAUUUUUUAUUUCAACCCACCAUGUUGGGUAAACCCAAAUAUCGCUCUAGACCAGAAGAAGAAUGGACCCCUAAGCAUGCAACUAUAUCCUCCAUGUUCUGUGCUUCCACAUUAGCGCUAAAGUAGACAAUUAAUUUUCCAAAAUUAACAUAUUGACCCGAUGAAUUCUUAUAUUUGGCCAAAAUUUGCUUCAAAAUCAUUGCACCAUUCACCGUUGCCUUCCCAAAUAGGAUAUAGUCAUUAGCAAACAAUAAAUGGGAUAUUUCUGGACCUCUCCGACAAAUCUUAGCCCCUUUUACCACCUUCUCUCGAUGAGCUAUAUGCAUAAGGGAAAACCCUCACUACAAAUCAGAAACAAAUAAGGACUAAACGGGUCUCCCUACCUAAGACCCCUACUAGGAGAAAACACUCUUCCUAUUUCACCAUUCAGGGUCAUAGAAUAAGAAACAGUACUAAUACAAUGUACUAUAAAAUCGACCCAAAUUCUCAAGAAACCCAUCUGCAACAUCAUUUUCACUAAAAAUCCCCCACUCCAUUCUAUAAUACGCCUUAUUUAUAUCCAGUUUAAGAGCAAAAUGAUCUCUUUUACCCUAAAUUUUACGUUAUUAUGCAUUGAGAAUUUCGUAAGCAAGGAGAAUAUUAUCCGUUAUUAACCUACCUGGGAUAAAAGUGCUUUGUGCUUCAUCUACACACAAAUGCAACAUCGUUUGGAACCUAUUCACCACAGUUUUCAAAAUAAUCUUAUACAAAAUAAAGCAUAAAUUGAUGGGUCAAAAUUAUUGCAUACACAUAGGGUCACUUGUUUUUGGAAUAAGAACAAUAUUUGUUUUAUUUAUGUCAGCUAGGGACUUACCAUCAUUUAGCACCUCAAGGUAAUAAUCACCAACCUCCCGUCCCACUAUAUGCUAGUAAUUCUGAUAAAAUAGACCAGGAAGACCAUUUGGUCCCUCCGCUUUUUUUGGCGCCAUAGCUUUCAAUGUAGUAAGAACUUCCUUCCUCUCAUACAUAGCAUUUAAUCUCAAAUUCAUUUCCUUAGUAAUGCAAUGCUCCACCCCCUUUAAAAUAUGAUCAGAAUUUCCUCUACCUCACGAAGUAAAUAAUUGCAUGAAAUAAUCAUUCGCAAUGUCGAACAAACUAUCUCCGACUGUAACAAAUUGUCCACCUCUACCCAUUAAAUCCUUGACUCUGUUUUGUUCCCUUCUUUGUAACACAAAUCGAUAAAAAGACCCCGUAUUAUGGUCUCUCAACUUUAGCCAAUUUGCAUGAGCUCGCUAUUCCCAGUAUAGCUCCUCCUUAUCAAUUUCAAGAUUCAUUUCCAACUUCGUUCCUAAUAGAUCAAAGAUAUUCUCUUCAUCUCUAUCCCCCUCAUUGAGAGUAAUCAAUCGAUCUCGCAGCAUUCUAAAGUGCCCCCUUUUGUAAUUUCAACCUAGCUGCCCAAAUUUUUAGUCCCGAACACAACAACGAUAACCGUUGGGGAAUACUUCCCUAUUAGAACACCGGUACACCACACUGCGCAGCAGAAAAAUAAAAUCCGGCGAUCACAUUCAAGGAUCCAUGUGCGAGGAACGAAUUGGGGUGAGAAAGGUAUGAACGAUUACCUUUAAUCAUCUGGAAAAACAAGGAUAACUGUUGUGAAACUGAUUACACAAUUGUAUGUUGAUUCCACGCCGCUACGAAAAGUUUCGGCCUCUACAUAAUCCAUCCGAUAUGACAACAACCGGCAAGAACUCUUUUAAACUUUUCAGAGAGAAUUCACUAUAUAACAACUGCUAGACCUGAGCUCUAUUUUACUUCAGGUAUAUUAGUUUUUCUUAAAAACCCUAUAUUUCCUAAUUCGAAAAUAAUUGAUAUUUUAAUAUGAAUCAAAAUUCAUUAUAAUAAUUAAACGAAUAUAAUAAUUAUAAUUAUCAUAAUUAUAAUAAUGUUUGACCGAAAAAUUACAAUUACAAUCAUUAUAAUAUUGUAACAAAAUAUCCCAACCCAUUCUUGAAUCAUCCACCUCCCUUCUAUGUCUAAUUGGGCAGAAACUAUCAUCAUGGCCCAAACAACCACACAGAAAAUAGAAAAACGUGAGUUUCUCAUAUUUAAACCUCACAUAUAUGUGAUUUUGAGAGGAAACUUGGAUCUUCUUCUUGUGUUUCAAUAAAAAUCUAAUAUCCAACCACAUCCUAACCUACAAGAAUUGAGUAAAGCCUUCACUGGCAUUUUUUGAGUCACUAUUCAAAAAAGUGAAUAAAAUUCUCCAAUUGUCUAGCAACACGCUUAGAAAAGAAACCUGGCAAAAAACCAAGGAUCUGAACCAAGAAGUAUGUAUAAAUCAAUGCCAUAUUCAGUGGGUCUUCAUUCUCUUUCGAACAAUGAAACACCAACAAGUGAUUGUUAAAAGUUGCUCCCUUCAUAACUCUCUUAAUGUGAACCCGGUGGAAAAAGUGAAACAGAAAACUUUCUCCCCUAGAUUUGAGAUCUGAAUACCCUACAACGGAUGCCAAAAAUUCGGUAAAGUGUUACACAUGGCCGAAAAAUGCACAACACUUGUUGUAACAAAAUAACCUACCAAACAAAGAUUAGACAAACUUCUUUGGUCCUCCAAAACCCCCUCAACCCGUAAAACCUCAUUUUCCUCCUCCCCAAUGUGCAAACCCGCCAUUUCAUUUUCCAUUUAAACCACUUAAUAUAGCCAACCAAUAAACACAACAGAGAAAAGACGAACAAAACACAAGAAAAUAAUGUGAAACCCUAGAAAAAAAACAAUCCUAGAGAGACCUAACCAAAUCGUGCUAUUUAGCAGACAAAAGCAUGCCAUAUGACAAACAUGUUUGUGAUUGGAGGGGUUAUUUUAGUCACUCUUUCAUUAGUUGUCUAACGAAAGUCUAAUGUAGGCUUUGUUUUAUUGACCUAAUAACAAAUUUAACCUUCCAGUGUUUACAUAUUCUAUCAAUUUAAUCUUAAAUCUUAAAAAGUAAACAAAAUUAACCCUCAGUGUUAAUAAGAUUUGUCAUUUUAGUCCUAAUUAUAAAAAAAAUUUAAAAGUCCUAAAAAUUUAAAAAAGUAAAUAUAAAUUAUACAAAAAUAAAAAAUAAAAAAUGUAAAUAUAAAAAUAUAUUUAAGAUUUUUGUACCCAAAAUACUUUCAACAGUAUCUUUCACUUUGUUCUUUCAUUCAUUCAAUUGAAGAGUUUGAAAAUAUCAAGUACCACGAUCUUGACAUGCAAUUUCUCUCCAAUGUUUGAGUUAGAAAUGAUAAAGACAUGAGAACAUGAAAUUGGUAAUAUCUCUAUAGCAAAGAGUAAGACCGUUAGAGUUGAUGUCGUUAACCCAACCAUUUUAAUGUUUAAUUUGUUAGUCCAACAAAAAACUCAUUUUAAACUUUUAUUAUUAAAUUAAUGAUAAGAGUGACUAACAUAUUUAAUUUCAAAAAAUUAAGUAACUAUAUAAAAAUAAUAAUUAAAUAACUAAAAUAAAAACCAACUGAAUAAUUAAGCACUUUCCUUUAUUAUUUAACUUUGGCCUAAUCUAGAAAUAGACUACUCAUGAAUUAGCACAAGGUGUUGUUACUCCAAAGUGUUGGGGGUUGACCUGUAUAAAUAAUGAACAAAUAAAAAUAGAGAAGAAUGAACACAAAUUUUAUGUGGAAAACCCUUAAGGAAGGAAAAACCACAGGCGAAAGAGGUUUCGACUUUUCACUAAAUGAGCAAACAAAAAAGAGUAUAAGAUGAAAAUAAACCUAAAUGUACUAAACGUACAUUACCCAAAACCCCGAAUACAAAGCUCAAAAUCCCAAAGAGAAAAUCGGUAAACAAAAUCCUAAAUCUCAUAAGGCAUUCACAAAAAAAGGGUAUAAAAUACUCUUCAUAAUUACCACGAAACUCUCACCAAAACUCAUAAAUGACUACAUCUUGUUGCCCCCAAAGAAAAGCAUUUUUUGUGAUUGACAUAUCAAAACAGGGAUAUAAGGCCCCUUUAAAUAGGCUAACAUUAGAGUUCUAAUCAUAUUAAAAUAUCCUUAGAGUAAUCAAAGUUUAACUGGGAGAAGAAUACAAGGCACACCCACAAAUCUCCACCUUGACUCGUAUUUAUCAUGCCUCGUUUUUCAUACCCCGUCACAGGCCUAACUCAAAUUUUGGAGAAUGUCAACCAAGUCUAAACUCUGCUCGAACUUGGAAACUAAAAGACUUAUAGUCUUCAAAUCAAAGUUGUAUAAUGUAACACAAGCCAGUAAGUCCCGGACAGGAGGAAAAACAUUAACUCUCUCCACCUGACUGUAACCCUUUGUGACCAACCUUACCUCAAAACAUUAUGCGAACUAUUGGAGUCCUAAAGACGAAAAGGAGAUGAGAUUCUUCUCUAAAUCAGACACAUGCCUGACAUCUGACACGACUCCACCUUCAACCAAAUUAUAUGUGGAGAACAACGAAUCAUCACCCUUGUCCUUGGUCACAUCAGUUACCUCCGUAAUUAUUCGGAACUGCCAGAAACUUUAAUUUGUGAUCUGUUGAACUUUUCGAUAUCCAAAAUUAUUGUUGUGUCACCGAAUGAGUCGAUCUGCAAAAGCUGAACCUAGCUUUGAUACCAAUUUAUUGGGAAUUGACCCAUAUAAACAACAAACAAGUAAAAG